GACGAACGCUGGCGGCGUGCUUAACACAUGCAAGUCGAACGGAAAGGCCCUGCUUUUGUGGGGUGCUCGAGUGGCGAACGGGUGAGUAACACGUGAGUAACCUGCCCUUGACUUUGGGAUAACUUCAGGAAACUGGGGCUAAUACCGGAUAGGAGCUCCUGCUGCAUGGUGGGGGUUGGAAAGUUUCGGCGGUGUGGGAUGGACUCGGGGCUUAUCAGCUUGUUGGUGGGGUAGUGGCUUACCAAGGCUUUGACGGGUAGCCGGCCUGGGAGGGUGACCGGCCACAUUGGGACUGAGAGACGGCCCAGACUCCUACGGGAGGCAGCAGUGGGGAAUAUUGCACAAUGGGCGGAAGCCUGAUGCAGCAACGCCGCGUGCGGGAUGACGGCCUUCGGGUUGUAAACCGCUUUCGCCUGUGACGAAGCGUGAGUGACGGUAAUGGGUAAAGAAGCACCGGCUAACUACGUG
rnacentral:rRNA from 1 species